rnacentral:lncRNA from 1 species
UCAAAUAUGUUUAUUUAUAUCUUUAUGAUUUUAUUCCCUCUCUCUAUUCUCAUGGCAUUUUCAUGACAUUAUUGGCUAACCUCUAAUCAUAGAUUUUGCUUUUGCCUCCCUGAAAGAAUUGUAAGCCUUUUUAAGAUAUGAAAUAUGCCUACACGCAGAGCUUGGCACACAGUAGAGUCAAUCAUUUAAUGUUUUAAAUAUGCAUUUUCAGACUCAAAUAAUGAAGAAGUUUCAUUGGUAUCCACUGGUCACAUCAUAACUGGUUAUAGGGCAAUAAAAUCUGUGUUAAAUUCGAUUGCCUUUAUAUGUUAUCUGAAUUAUUUCUUCACUGUGACAGCAAAGAUUUAAAUAAGAUGAAUGUAAAAGAGAAAGCUUAUUGGACUCAAACCCACAGAUGGACACCAGAGUUCCACUUAGCUCAUCUUGGUAUCAAUAAAAACUCAUGUGGAAGGGAGACAUGAGACAUCAAUCAAUAUAUGUAAGAUGUACAUUGGUUCCAUCCAGAAAGGAGGGACAACUCAAGAAAGGAGGGGGCUUCCAGGUCACAGGGAAUCCGCGGUUGUGAUACAGUUUCUUCACAGGGUCUGUGGAUUCUCUUGGCUUUCCUGGUAUGUUGCUGCAGUAAUUCUUGAAGCAAAACCUCACAAUGUGAGUCUCCACAUGCUGUCCUGUCUGUCCCAGUGGAAGCUGCAAGCUAGUCCUGCCUCCUCACCCUCACAGAAACAGGAGAAUAAUGUUUGACCAAAUAUCUAGGCACUUUGUGGCCCAGUCAAGUUGACACAUUAAAUUAACCAUCACACUGGUCCCCAUGCAAAGUGGAACCCAGGUUUCAGAGCUCAGGCCCAGGGUCCCCUUACGAGGAGGGCUCCUGAGGGUUAUGAGUAUAAUGACUAUAUCUAGGCUGUCCUUCACAGCCACUUUCUUUCUUCCUAAACCUCAGGAUUUAAGCACACUGGCCUGAAACCUGGGUUCAAAUCUCUGCCAUGUAUUAGUUGUGCAAACUUUAGAUAUUAUUCAGAUAUUAUUUAAUAUCUCUAUGCCUCAGUUUCUUCACCUUUAAAAUUGAGAUAAAAUAAUCUCUACCUCAGGAGAUUGUUGUGAAGAGUAAUUAAGCUAAUGUGAAACACUUAGAACAAUGCCUGGUACAUGGUAAGUGCCCAAUAAAUAUUUUAAAAUAAAUGUUUUUAAAUGUUUU